CUUGUUUCCCCUUCACUCCAUUCACUUGUUUGAGAAAUCUUCGCGUCCUGGUCAUUUCUUUCAUCAGCAUCUGGGCUGCUAGACAAGCUGCUGCUCGCAAUUACUGAUGGUCCUGCGACUGCACUCGGACCAUCGGCUUUCGCAUUGCUGUUCGCACUGCCGGUGAUCGACUCUACCAACGCAUGCAGCUUUGUCGGAUCUGUAAAGCGGAAAAAAUUAUUUCGUAUAAUUAUGUGGCUUCCCAUAUUUGUGCUACUAGAACUUGCUGGGAGCAGGCCGCGGAAGCGCAUCGCGCUGUGUUGCUGACAGUACGCUCGACUGCCCGCGCGUACGUUGCUAAAAACGAAUACUUACUCGCCAGAACAUCGUUCAUUUCAUCCACAGA
rnacentral:lncRNA from 1 species